rnacentral:tRNA from 1 species
GCCCGGAUGGCGAAACUGGCAGACGCACGGGACUUAAAAUCCCGGGUCCCGAAAGGGACGUGACGGUUCGAUUCCGUCUCCGGGCACCA